GAUGAACGCUAGCGGCAGGCUUAAUACAUGCAAGUUGAGGGGCAGCAUGAUAUACGCGAGUAUAUUGAUGGCGACCGGCGGACGGGUGAGUAAUAGGUAGGAGACCUACCUCAUACAGGGGGAUAGCAUAGAGAAAUCUGUGGUAAUACCCCAUGAGGUUAUAUGAAUAGAGGCAUAUAAUCAAAGCAUAAGCGAUUAUGCGGUAUGAGAGGGGCCUACUGACCAUUAGCUAGUUGGUGAGGUAAGGGCUCACCAAGGCGAAGAUGGUUAGGGGUUUUGAGAGAGAGACCCCCCACAUUGGAACUGAGAGACGGUCCAGACUCCUACGGGAGGCAGCAGUAGGGAAUAUUGGGCAAUGGGCGAAAGCCUGACCCAGCCAUGCCGCGUGAAGGAAGACGGCCUUAUGGGUUGUAAACUUCCUUACUACGCGAAUAGAGGUUAGUACGAGAUACUAAUAGGAAGGUAGUGUAGUAAAAGCACCGGCUAACUCCGUG
rnacentral:rRNA from 1 species